UACGGAGGGUGCAAGCGUUAUCCGGAUUCACUGGGUUUAAAGGGUGCGUAGGUGGGCUAGUAAGUCAGUGGUGAAAUCUCCGGGCUUAACCCGGAAACUGCCAUUGAUACUAUUAGUCUUGAAUGUCGUGGAGGUAAGCGGAAUAUGUCAUGUAGCGGUGAAAUGCUUAGAUAUGACAUAGAACACCAAUUGCGAAGGCAGCUGGCUAGUCGGAUAUUGACACUGAGGCACGAAAGCGUGGGGAGCAAACAGG
rnacentral:rRNA from 1 species